ensembl:snRNA U2 U2 spliceosomal RNA
AUCGCUUCUCAGCCUUUUGGCUAAGAAGCGUAGUAUCUGUUCUUAUCAGUUUAAUAUGUGAUAUGUCCCCUAUAUGGGGAUAACAGAUUAAACUGAUUUUUAGCAACAGGAGUUGAAACAUGGAGCUUGCUCCUUUCACUCCAAGCAUUGACCUAGCCUUCACUGCUGUUAGUUUGUGAAAAAAGC